UUGUUGUCUCCUUGUACCGCUUGAAGCUUCAAAUAAACCUUUCUACUUUUCCACCCCGUUGUGAUUAUUGGGCGACGCACACCGGGCAAUGAAUCCAGCUGUUGCUUGCCUCGGCACUCGGUGCCUGCAACAGUUUUUGGCUUCCCUGGGUGGGCUAGAGGCUACAACACAAGCCUUGCCCGGAUCCCUUGCAGGGACCGUCGGGUGAGGACUCCAACCGACAUCCAGUGCACACCGGUGUGAUUCCCGGGGGCCUCGGAGGAGCAUAGCCCAACCCGCCCCGUAGGGCACAACAGUGCAACGCGCCUGAUAAGUGGAGAGGCGCCACGGGCGACAGUGGGGAACCAGUCCUUCGGAUAAGGUAUACUAAAGACUCCCAGCCUCUUCCCUUGGACUUUCCCGUCCACUCCUUACAGCCUGGCAACUCUGUGCUUGUUCACACCUGGAAAGACAAACCUCUCCAGGAAAAGUGGAAAGGACCCUACAACGUCCUGCUGACGUUGCCAUACGGCGGCAAAGGUCGAGGGACACAAGAACUGGAUCCAUCACUCGCGUCUGAAAGCAGUACCCACCCCUUCAUCAGCAGAGCAGUGGACCGUCCACCCCGUUGACUCCUCAUCUAGUGAUGAUCUCGGGCUAAAGUUACUGUUUAAGAAACACAAACAGCGGGCACCUUAGCACCAAAAUGGGUCCACUCAAAAACUGGAAACCCUGGACCGGGAGGACCCCGAUAAUAAUUAAUCGUGUAACCCUGUUAUUUUCUAUGCUGUUAUUUCUAAACUGUGCAUAUCGGGAACAUAAUUCCUUUGUUUUACUUGCGCACCAUGUUGCUACUUUAACAAACCAAACUAAUUGCUGGGUGUGUGCUCCGACUCCACUUUCCCCCAAAACAGGAGUGCCCCUUGUCAUGCUGCCCUUAACUCUAGCAGAAUUAGCUGCCCCCAAAGAGCAGGAAAGUAGAAACCGAACGGACUCACCGUUCUGGGAUAAGAUCUCUUUGCAGCAAGCUACCUACCAGGAUCAGGAGUAUUCAGUUGUAGUGCUCACUGAGGGAGUGUUUUGUUUUACCUGAAACCAAUCUGAUCCCUAUAGGCAUCCUGUGGGAAGGAGCUCCUGUGUUAUUACACAGUGGGCCAAUGGAUAUUGGAUAAAAACCGAGAGGGGAGGUCAACAGUAUGGAUGUUUCCUCCCCUUUU